rnacentral:rRNA from 1 species
AGUGAACGCUGGCGGUAGGCCUAACACAUGCAAGUCGAACGGCAGCACAGUAAGAGCUUGCUCUUACGGGUGGCGAGUGGCGGACGGGUGAGGAAUACAUCGGAAUCUACUUUUUCGUGGGGGAUAACGUAGGGAAACUUACGCUAAUACCGCAUACGACCUACGGGUGAAAGCAGGGGAUCUUCGGACCUUGCGCGAUUGAAUGAGCCGAUGUCGGAUUAGCUAGUUGGCGGGGUAAAGGCCCACCAAGGCGACGAUCCGUAGCUGGUCUGAGAGGAUGGUCAGCCGCACUGGAACUGAGACAGGGUCCAGACUCCUACGGGAGGCAGCAGUGGGGAAUAUUGGACAAUGGGGGGAAGCAUGAUACAGCGAUACCGCGUGGGUGAAGAAGGCCUUCGGGUUGUAAAGACCUUUUGUUGGGAAAGAAAAGCAGCAGGUUAAUACCACGCUGUUGUGACGGUACCCAAAGAAUAAGCACCGGCUAACUUCGUG